CCCCCCCCCAAAAGUGUCAGAGUGAUGUAUGCACAGGGGAUAGUAGCUUUGUUUCCCAUACUCACAACAUGGAUAUGAGCAUUACUAUGAUCCAGAGAGUGGUUCAGGAUACCUUGCAUGGCGAUUGAAGACUAUACAAAGAAAAACAGCAGAGGAAAGAGGUGCCUCUGAUCAGUAAACAUACCUUUAGGAGAUUUGCUGACUGUGACAUGAUUAUAUUGGUGACCUGUGAAUUGUACAGAAAUGAGUUUUUAACAUUUUAUUUUGUCUUAAGUUGGUGGGCCAGGUCGUGUUUGUCAGCCCUUCACCUUUGACAGAGAUCCAUCUGAUGAGGAUGUGGAAGCAGCUAUUUUGAGACACUCUGCUGAUGAAAAGACUGUCUGUGAGAAGAUGAAAAUGACCUUCAUAUAUCGGCAAGCAAUGGUCAACGGUGAAGCCAAAUCAUCAGAUGUCUUGACACACCAGGACUGAUAGAACAAGAUUUCAGAUUUCUGUUUGGUGAGGCCACGGCCAACAAAUUCUUUGAGAAGUGGCCAACCACUUUUAAAGCAAAAGUAAUAAAGGAAAGCGAUGGACUUGUACCCACAACAGAACUCUUGGAUUUGAUGCACAAUGCUGAGUCAGCUGCUGAAGUUGAGAAUCGUA